GGCGUUCAGUUUGACGCGCCCCCAGGAUACCCCACAGGUGAAAGCCCCAGCUCGAGGCCUUUACCCGCCCUCCUCCCCAAGUCCCAGUAAAAGGGACGGUUCAGGGGACAGUCUCGGUGAAACCGAGGUUUAAACUCUGAGCCUGCCUUCCUUUCCGGCUUUCGGAGGUACCCCCAAUCCAAUCCCACUCUGUCCUCUCCUUUGCCUCGACGCCAAAGUCCUUAGCACCAGCCCGGCAUGUACACGGUCCGGCGAGGGGCCGAGGGCUCUGCGCUCCAGGGCCUGGGCAGCAGAGAGGAGACCGGGGGUCAGGGGCCAAGGGGACGGAGCCUGAACUCCGGGUCCUCUCUGGGCAUUGCCCCGCGCGUGCCCUUGGCAGUGCAGCUUGGUCACGCUCGCUGAAUACUUUCCAGUCUCUGUCCGGAACGCUCCGGGGACUUUGGUUUGCACCUAGAGCUCCUUUUGUGUUCUCUGGAAGCGCGGCCCCUCUCCCCUUACCCCUCACUCCUUCCUUGAAGCACCUGGUUCCCGGAGCCGACAGCAGCCCCUCUGCCCUGCGCCCCUCUUCCGCAGCUCCCGGCGGAGAACCGACUGUCCGCAGGCCGUGGCAACCCCCUAUAUGUCCACCAGAUGGCGCUCCAGGCCAGGGGCCGAACGGCGGCCGGACAGCCCGCCCCGGGACUGGAGCCUACCUUGGACCCAGAGCCGCGGCAGGAUCCGCUCCGAGACUGGGCCGCAGGCCCAGGGGGUGGGCGCAGGCCGCUGAGAGAUCGAGGCGCUCCGCGCACCCGAAGGAAACUCCAGACAGAGGAGGCAGACACAAGGAUGGGACUGCCCGAGGCUCGGGAUGGGGUCCUGAGCACUUCCGGAACCGGCUGGCUCCAGCUGCCUCCAGCAUCCUUGUGGGAUGUGGUUCCUCCCCCCAUCCAAGCCGGAUUGCACCUUGGUACAAGCUGCGGCAGAGGCGUAGCUUGAUGGAGGGUAGAUUGGGCAGCCAGCACCGCGGUUUAUUCACUGACUGUGACUUCUUCAAAAGAGACAAGGGGAUACUCAUGGAGGACAUUCAGAAAUGCUCAGGAACAAAACGUCAGUGGCGUGUGGGAGUUCACGUGUCACCAUGGUGAGCAGGAG
ensembl:lncRNA